GCCUUCGUGGUGCAACGGUAACACAGUCGGCGCGUAUUCGAGAGGUCCAGGUUCGAGUCCCGGCGAGGGCA
rnacentral:tRNA from 1 species